rnacentral:rRNA from 1 species
GCAUAUCAAUAAGCGGAGGAAAAGAAACCAACAGGGAUUGCCCCAGUAACGGCGAGUGAAGCGGCAAGAGCUCAAAUUUGAAAGCUGGCUCCUUCGGGGUCCGCAUUGUAAUUUGCAGAGGAUGCUUCGGGAGCGGUCCCCAUCUAAGUGCCCUGGAACGGGACGUCAUAGAGGGUGAGAAUCCCGUAUGGGAUGGGGUGUCCGCGCCCGUGUGAAGCUCCUUCGACGAGUCGAGUUGUUUGGGAAUGCAGCUCUAAAUGGGUGGUAAAUUUCAUCUAAAGCUAAAUAUUGGCCGGAGACCGAUAGCGCACAAGUAGAGUGAUCGAAAGAUGAAAAGCACUUUGAAAAGAGAGUUAAAAAGCACGUGAAAUUGUUGAAAGGGAAGCGCUUGCGACCAGACUCGCUCGCGGGGUUCAGCCGGCAUUCGUGCCGGUGUAUUUCCCCGCGGGCGGGCCAGCGUCGGUUUGGGCGGUCGGUCAAAGGCCCUCGGAAGGUAACGCCCCUAGGGGCGUCUUAUAGCCGAGGGUGCAAUGCGACCUGCCUAGACCGAGGAACGCGCUUCGGCUCGGACGCUGGCAUAAUGGUCGUAAGCGACCCGUCUUGAAACACGGACCAAGGAGUCUAACAUCUACGCGAGUGUUCGGGUGUCAAACCCGUGCGCGAAGUGAAAGCGAACGGAGGUGGGAACCCUUACGGGUGCACCAUCGACCGAUCCUGAAGUCUUCGGAUGGAUUUGAGUAAGAGCGUAGCUGUUGGGACCCGAAAGAUGGUGAACUAUGCCUGAAUAGGGCGAAGCCAGAGGAAACUCUGGUGGAGGCUCGUAGCGGUUCUGACGUGCAAAUCGAUCGUCGAAUUUGGGUAUAGGGCGAAAGACUAAUCGAACCAUCUGGUAGCUGGUUCCUGCG